UACUGCCGUUACUAGGCCUCCGGGGGCCGUACUUCCCUCACGGGAGGAAGAGCCAGCUGGUGUCUGCCUGCUCGUGAGAGGGUCACCUCGCCGGGCCCCCCCAGGCCCUCUCAGGGAGCGGGGGAGGGGGGCGUGGGCUGGGUGGAGCUGCCCCGCCGCCCCGCGGCAUCAUUAUUAGGAGAAAUUUCUACACCGAAAGGGUUAUCAAGCACUGGAAGAGGCUCCCCAGGGAACUGGUGGAGUCGCCAUCCCUGGAGCCCAGCUACCUGCUUCUACAUCUGCGCAGCUUCUGGAUGGUGCCAGCAUGAACAUUUGUGAAAUCAAGCAGUAAAUGAGAUUGAACUGAGAAGUCUAGAAAACAACCUGCUUUCCUUCCUUUUUGCUGAUCCAGUUCACCAACAUAAUAAAUGUGUCAGAGCGGCACUGGGGAUAGCACAGAGACAACAGAGAAUGGAAACAGCUUAAAUAGGCUUGUUCUGUCACCGAGCGCAUACCCAUGUGUUGACUUGCAUUGCCAUUUAGACCCUGCUCAGUGUCUCCUCGAAAACACUCUUGACACACCUACCAACUAUGAAACUGGAACUCUUCGAGUGCAUAAUUUCAUUAGUCAUCCUGCCGUGAGUCUUUGGCCUGGGCUGGACGACGGUGUUUGUCUCUGACAAAGUUUCCAGAAUUACCAGCAGCUUUGCAUUUCAUCGGCUUUGAAUACAUGGAAAUAUUGAGGCCUGUCCCUGCCAGAUGGUUAUCU